AACGAACGCUGGCGGCGUGGCUAAAACAUGCAAGUCGCACGGGAAUUCCGGGCAACCGGAUAGUACAGUGGCGAAAGGGUGAGUAAUGCAUGGGUAACGUACCUUUAGCACAGGGACAGCUCGGGGAAACUCGAGUUAAUACCUGAUGAGACCACGGUGUCAUAUGGCACAGCGGUCAAAAGAUGGGGAUCCUUCGGGACCUAUUGGCUUUAGAGCGGCCCAUGUCCUAUCAGCUAGUUGGUGAGGUAACGGCCCACCAAGGCAACGACGGGUAGCGGGACUGAGAGGUUGGCCCGCCACAUUGGGACUGAGACACUGCCCAGACUCCUACGGGAGGCUGCAGUAACGAAUAUUCCGCAAUGGACGAAAGUCUGACGGAGCGACGCCGCGUGUGGGAAGAAGUCCUUCGGGAUGUAAACCACUGUCAGGGACUGCCAAGUGACCGCGCCUAAUAUGCGCGGAAGUUGAGGAGUUCCAGAGGAAGCCACGGCUAACUUCGUGCCAGCAGCCGCGGUAAGACGAAGGUGGCAAGCGUUGUUCGGAAUCACUGGGCUUAAAGAGCACGUAGGCGGCCCUGCAAGUGCCUUGUGAAAUCCCUCGGCUCAACCGAGGAAUUGCUCGGCAGACUGUGGGGCUUGAGGCAGGUAAGGGUGA
rnacentral:rRNA from 1 species